rnacentral:rRNA from 1 species
GACGAACGCUGGCGGCGUGCCUAAUACAUGCAAGUUGAGCGAUGAAGAUUGGUGCUUGCACCAAUUUGUAGAGCAUCGCACGGGUGAGUAACGCGUGGGGAAUCUUCCUUUGAGCGGGGGACAACAUUUUGAAACGAAUGCUAAUACCGCAUUACAACUUUAAACAUAAGUUUUAAGUUUGAAAGAUGCCAUUGCAUCACUCAAAGAUGAUCCCGCGUUGUAUUAGCUAGUUGGUGAGGUAAAGGCUCACCAAGGCGAUGAUACAUAGCCGACCUGAGAGGGUGAUAGGCCACAUUGGGACUGAGACACGGCCCAAACCCCUACGGGAGGCAGCAGUAGGGAAUCUUGGGCAAUAGACGAAAGUCUGACAGAGCAACGCCGCGUGAGUGAAGAAGGUUUUCGGAUCGUAAAACUCUGUUGGUAGAGAAGAACGGUGGUGAGAGUGGAAAGCUCAUCAAGUGACGGUAACUACACAGAAAGGGACGGCUAACUACGUG